UGAGCCAACAAACAAAAGAGCAUCAAUAUCUGCAGAAAGAUUAAGAAAGCUAUUCACAAGUUGAUUAAGUGAUGAGCAGUCUUUUUGGGACCGAAAAAUUGCUAAUCUGGCAAGACAUAUUGUUCUCUGCCAUGAAGACCUAUACGUGGUGAUGGCACCCACAUGCUCACAGACGUUCUUGCUGCUGGGAAUAUUCGAGAGCGCAUUUGGAGCGAAUAAUGUUA
rnacentral:misc_RNA from 1 species